UAGUUGCCAUAACUCCGAGCUCUAUAAGCUAAGUCCAGAGUGAUAAGCCUAUUGAGCCAGUGACAUGUUGUCACAAGGGCAUACUUGGAAAUGAUUAUGCCUCCCGUGUUUGGAAAGGUGUUCCGUGGCGCAACAA
rnacentral:ncRNA from 2 species